CGGACGGGGGAGUAAUGUCUGGGAAACUGCCCGAUGGAGGGGGGUAACUACUGGAACGGUAGCUAAUACCGCAUAACGUCGCAAGACCAAAGAGGGGGACCUUCGGGCCUCUUGCCAUCGGAUGCGCCCAGAUGGGAUUAGCUAGUAGGUGGGGUAACGGCUCACCUAGGCGACGAUCCCUAGCUGGUCUGAGAGGAUGACCAGCCACACUGGAACUGAGACACGGUCCAG
rnacentral:rRNA from 1 species